rnacentral:pre_miRNA from 2 species
GUAUUGUUGUGAGUUCCCUUCAAGCACUUCACGUCAUGUGGCACUAAUUCAAUGCUUACUGUGUUUGGGGGAACUCUCGGUAUCAC